rnacentral:lncRNA from 1 species
GAGAAACUGAAGAGGGGAAACACCUGAGGGGCUUUGUCCAUCUGAAGAGGGAUUUCUAAGAUAAAAUGGCUUCUAAGAUGUGAUUUGCUUUUGGAACCAUCUCUUUCCAGUGACUACAGACAGCUCAGAUGGUUAACAAUAAGUGCCAUUUAAAUGGUUAAGUGGAUAAAUCCAAUGAUUGUUAUGAAAAUUCUCUGUUUUGGGAAAGUUGAAAUACACGAAAUCAUUUCAUUUAAACUUCCUAAGAGACUGUGAAUUCUGAGCAAAAUCAAACCGUGGCGUUUGCUUGAGAUGGUUCAUGGAAAUUCUUUUGCAGCAUAACUUGAGCUUUACCUGGUCCAGUUUUUGAGACUGAGUAUGAAUCAUAACGGGGAAUAAAGGCAGGAAAUAACCAGGGGUGUUGUCAGCUGCCUGCAUUGCGUUCGUCACUGUCAUGGCUGGCAGUGUAACAGAUAAGUGGAUGGAUUCAAGGCCACCCAGGGAAUGGAGCCUGACAGGACCUCAUUCAUCACUUCCAUUUCGGAGGUCUCUGUGGAAGAGCUGGCAUCAAAGAAGUAAUCAAGGCUCACAAGACCAUGGGGGGGGGGGCGUGGGAGGAGUGCUCUGCAUUGCAAACAAACCGAGCUGUCAAAUCUGUUUUGUAAAUGAAGUGUUUUUCUGGAGACCGUGUUUAUAACCGUCACCUUAAGCAUACCCCUCAUAAUAUACAACUGCCGUGGGAGCCUAGGGCCACAACCUGGGCUUCUCCCAGCCUCCAAAUAAAAAAUUGCGAUUGCAGGGAGAAGUCAAAAGGUGUGUGUGGGAGGUGGGGGCAUUUAAGAUAUGGCUCAUCCUAGCGGUUUGUUUCAUCAGGUAGCCUCUCCAUCUUGAGCUCUGCUCUUGGCACCUGGGCUCCAUUCAUCUUGAGUAAUUGGCCUGCUAAGUAUGAUGCCUUGCCGGUUGCAGAUGAGACACGUGGUGCGAUUUGCCACUGGCUAUGCGAACUUUGUGACAGCAAAUGAGCCUGCUCUAAAGAUUAAAUAAUAAUAAUAAUAAAAUCCUGCUAAUAUGGACCUAGGGGACAAAGGAGAAAGCAUUUACUAGCAGCGUGAGGCCUAUAUGGAUAGCCCUUGCAUAUGAAAUCACGCUGAAAGCUUUAGGUUUCUAGAAAAAAAAGCAGGUGAGCAGUGUGCUCCGCUGGGCGGCUGCUCAGCUGUCAGUCUCUUCUGACAGGCAGGAUAUCCAGCUGUCUGUGUGUACGGAGUGCGAGGCUGGAUGAGCUGGUGAAAGGAAGACAUCUGCGCUACAAUGUUAGAGUGCGGUCGCCUUGUUUGCUUGUCCUUAAUAUUUUCUUCUUCGGUUUUGUUCUUACAGCCUCACAGAUGAUGCCUUGCCAGGUAGGCUUGGUCACCUGGCAGCUGGGGCUAUGGCUGGGACUGUUAUCCACUGACUCUGUGCUGUUCCCUGCAUGCGACUGGCCUUCCUGCUGCCCACUGACCUCAGCCGCUUGGUUUGGGGGGCAGAGUUUAUUUAGGAGUGACAAUCUGAGCACGCCCACGUUAUGUGAUGUUGCACACAGGGUCUAUGCUUGUACUUGAUCCUCAGGUUACCAGGUUCCUCUUAAGUGCAUGCAGUUUAACAUGAACUUACGUGCUUUGGACUCGCAGAGUAGAAACUUCCUAUUGGAUUACCAUUUUUCUUAUUAAAUACUUUAAAGCACUCUCUGUGACUUAUGCUACUUGGAAGUUACGUGUAUGUGCUAAGAGUACCUUUACAUAAUGCACUGGAUAUUUUCUUUUACGUUGCCAAGCUUGCUUCUGAGUCCUAAGCUCUCUUGAGGCAGCGAAGGCUUAGUAAAUCCUGGAAAUAAUACUGAUUGAAUGUAGCUUUAGGUGACAGAAAAAAACAGCCAGAGGUUGCUCAGGGCCUUCCCCUGCUUUGGUAACCUGGAUUACAGUCGGUGUUGGGUGCCUGAACCAAUCUUAAAGGGCAUCCCAUGGCAAAACAUUUGCCAUGAUGAGAAGAAGUUCAUAAAAUGGCAAUGAUCUUUAUUUGUAUAGCACUUUUCACCCAGGAGAAAAACAUAGUGCUUCACAAAAUGAUUUUUACAAGCUGCACCAGCACUGAAAAACAAGCUCCUCCAGGAUGAAAUACACCAGCUGCUAAGCAGCAGCACUGCUGCAUGAAUAAAAUAAUAAAGCUAUUUGGAGAGGAGUUAAUGACUGCCACUGAGCAGGUCUGAUCGACAAGCAGUGGUAGGUUUUACUGAAGGUGAUGGGAGUUUGAACUGUUCUGUUUCCAGGAGAACAGAGGAUGCGGUUCAAUAUCCCUUUGCAGAGAGGGAUCUGGUAGCAACAAGCUCUCCCUUGGUAGCAAGAGGCUUCUUGGAUGUUCAGAAUGCAGUUGGAAGACCAGGUGAAAGAAAGAAAGGGGGAGCAGCAUGGGUAGGUUAUUUACCACGAGUGUGUCUGGUGUGGCCCUGUCGCCUACUGGCUUCAGCUUCUGAGUCCCCUGGCAGUUUCUGUAGUGGCUGCAGCUAGGAGUGUGUCAGACCAGCUGGGAGCUGGUAGCCUGGGGAAGGUUUGAUGGUCCGACCAGGUUAGUUGGCUUAUCUGACCAACUCAGUAUCGAGGAAGGUAACACUGCACUUGUUGAUAGUAGAAGAGUGAUACAGCUUCUCUGUAAUAUGUGCUAGAUGGGGGAUUUCCUCCAGGAGUUGUUGCAAACUCAGGGCAGGGUGGGGUGGAGUUACCAUGCUAGCUGUGUUUGUACAUCUGGGUCUCAGAGCAUUGUCUUUGGCAUCUUCUGUACUGGAUUGUGUGAAUGGUGUUUGUAGACAAAGGUUGCAACAGAGAGUACUUGAGUGCAUAGUUACCCCUUUCAAGACCUGACAAGUCUCGCAAGGAGAACUAGGUGCUCAGGCCAAAGGGUUAUCAAUGAAUCUAGCUCAGUAAAAUGGCACAAAAUCAACUGAGCCAUGGCAUCUGAGAAGGCUAAAUUACUGUGAGAAGUGUUAUGAGAUUAUACCUGUCAUAGCUCUCUACAAUUUGUUCUUCACGUGCAUUUUAGGACUGGCACUCUCAGGGACAAGUCAUCCCCCAUUCCUGGGGAGUGGAAAGAUUCUUCAGUGCAGGGAAGAGUGUGCUCCUGACCAGACUUCCAAGAGUAUCUGACCCGUUUCCCAGAGAAUCACUGUUUCCUGAAAUGUGCUCUCUAAUGCUGAGAUCAGCUAUGCGUGGAUGAGAUUUAAACCAAGAGAAAAGGUCCAGGAGGAGCCCUGCACCAUCUCUCUCUCACCUCACCCAGCAGACUAUGAAAUCGUGAGGCUGUGGAAGUGUGUGUACAGUGGGAUCAGAUCUGGAGCGCAGCCAGCCACCAACACAAAAAUGAGAGGCAAUAUCUGAACCUAUACUUCACAAAAAUAUUUCUGGUCUUGCAAAACACAUGGAGGCACUUACUAUUUUAAAUCUCUGCCUACAGCAAGAGUGUAAGGUAAUCUCAUUCAUAUUUGUGGAACAAAUCCAGUUACAGAUCUUCCAUAACGAAGAAAGAAAGCUACAGGAAUUGCCGACUGUGUAUGUCAAACUGCUGCCAGACCCGUGUGUGGUAACGCAUUUAUCACAUUCAGAAAAGCAUUUCAAUAAACAACAACAGCAGCAGCAACAGGAGAUGGAUGUCCUAAGACAGAGAAUAGCACAUUCAGCAGGAAAGGAGAGACCCCAUGUGUCACCUGAGGCAAACCCCUGCUAGGUCAAGGGACUGCCACCCUGGGGCAUACUCUCGAUCACAAGACUGGAGAGGUGCCUGCCUAAAAUGAACUGGGGUGGAUGGUAGAACCAGAGCAGCCACAGAAGCAUGGAUAUCCCAGAUGAGAAGAUGCCCGUGCCUGUCCCCGUUCAAGUGGUCUGAGGCAUUUCUGUUGUGUAGGAUGGUGUCAGACUCUAGAGGAUAAAAAUAUCUUUCGGACGAACAGAAAAGUAACCAAAAUGAAUACAUCAAAGAGCCCCAAAUGUGAGCAAAUUUCUACAAUUCUGGAUUUGAAGAGGAGUUGGGUAGCAGAAAUGGCAUGCAGGGGCAGAUUCUGGACCUGAAGCUGAUGGGCUCUGCCACAAGUAAUCACACAGAUACAGGUUUUUCUUCUGCACUGAUGAUGCUGGGGUUGUGCUGAUGCCUGCCUGCCUGCCUGCCAUUUUGGUGCUAUUUCUUGCAGUCUGUACAGCAAUGCUUUGGGUAUGACUGGCUCUCUUCGUAUCUGAACAGGAACAAAGCCAUAUAUUCCCUAGGCUCUGUUAAAAUUCAGAGACCAGCCUGUGAACUGGUUAGAGAGGAAGGAGCCAAAAGUCCUUUCAUCUACUCUUGCAUACUCCCCGAUGAGCUGAAAUAUGCAGUUUACUAUGCACCUGGAUGUUUAUUUUCAAGGAGAAAAACAAACUAAUACAUAUUUAUUUUUGUUCCCACAGUAUUAUUUUUUACUUUCAGGCUAUAUUUGCUGAACAAAAUAGUUGCAGGUUUCCUUUUAACCUAAUAAACUUUUGUACUGUUGCACCUCAUUAUAUAUUUUGUGGCAUUGGGUUUUGAAUCUGCUGCUUCAAUUACAGAAACUGCCAACAGACGUGAAAAUCCAGAAGACAGAGGCUGAAGCGUUCCUGCCUUUUAGCUUUGGAAUUACUUUUGCAUACUCUGACAGUUUUCCCUUAUAAACGAGGUUGGUGAUAGCUACAGCUAUGGAAUGCAAGAAAACUGAUGCAAACUUUGCCACCAGAAUUAAGAAGAAAACAUUUUUUUCAAACCAGAAGUUGGCGCAAUUCCUGUUUUUCUGUCUUCACCUUCCUCCCUGCUCUCCCAGGUCUGUUACUUAUUAUCAGAAGUGGGGAAGAGGAAGUAUAUGCAAGGUCACAUAAGAGGAAAUACAAAUGUGUGUGUGUUUUGCCCUGAGGAGUUGCAGCUUCCUUUCUGAGAAGACAUAGUAGGAUUUUGUGUCGUUUCAGUUUAUUGUACUCAGAAAAGGAUAAGAGUUGAUGUAAAAGGUUUUACCCUUGGUGUAUGUAAGGCUAGGAAUUUUAGUCUUGGCCUUUAGCCUAAGUGAUUGAAAAUGCAUUUGUAUUAUUUGUUUAACUGACCAGAAAAUGCACCGAGUGGAUGAUGCAUUGGACUGUGUAGAGUGGGAAGAUAAAUUCGUUUUCAGAUUAAAAAAGGUGGAUUCGCUUAUGAGGAGAUCCUGAAGUUUAAAGAGAUGUUUUCUGUAUAUGUGGAUAGGUUAGGCUGAGGUAGGAUAAUCUCAACAGAGAAAAUUAAAACGGUGUGUAAAAGCUCUCCAAAAUCUUGGAGAGACUCACCAAUCACUGUGGUGGUACUGUGUUGGUGCAUUGGUUCCCAAAUACCCAGUUGCAUGUGUGUCAUGCAGAAGACUGGAGACUCGGAACUCAUCCAGAAAAACAGGACUGGAGGAGAUUAAAAGAGAGUUAGGAAGACAAAUGGUUUCUCAGAGCAUCAUUUCUCAUUUCCAGGUCUCUGACAGAGCAAUUGUCAAGAGUCUGGACUCCUAUUUUGUCACCCAGUGUGUUCAGAAUAACUUUUGUCUUGGGAAGUAAUAUUAGAAAUAUAAAGCCAAACACAUUCUGUUAAGUAAAAUUAUUUACUACUUUGACCUUUCAGUCCUUUGUGCCGUGGUUCACAAAGGUAUCCUCCAUUCUUUACAGCUUACCCAGGCUGUCUGUACAAGGAGGACAGUCCAUCAAAGCUACUCUUUUCCAGCAUCAGGAUCUGUUGGCACUUUUUUGGUGUUUUGACUGUUAGUGCCUCUUCUGCUUUUUUUUUUGUGGUGAUAAAGGAGCAGUGAAGCCUUUUCCAUUUGAAAAAGAACCUGCUGAGCUUAGGGCACACCCCUUAUUUGCCAUUACCAAGAGAAUGACCCUUGCAAGCCAGCUGCUCUAAUUGUGUGCUCGCAGCUCAGGCAAAAAAUGCUCUAAGAAUUUACGUUUUUUAAGAGUUGGUAUUGAUAAUGAGGCAUAUUAAAAAAUUCAAAUUAUCUUUUAUUAAUGAGUAAGGAUGGUGCCUAUAGAAGAAUCACAGGGAAGACGAAACAGUGAAGGGCAUGGAUAGUUUAUGAUGGAGCUACAAGGAUCUACAUGCUAUGAGUGUCAAGGUCUGAACCCAGGAUUUUAGUCCUAAUUCACUAACCUUUCACCCUGGUAGCUCAGUUUCCUUAGAUAAUGAGGCCACUGGAUGGAGAGGAAGAAGUCUGCCACAUGUGGUUUAAGUUAGUGUGGUUGAGUCUGCACUGGAAUAGAUAUGGCUGCCUCCAGACUAUGUUAAGAAAUGGCAGGUGCCCUGGUAAUGGCUCACUGAGGUUUCUGUUUGACUGUGCACUAGUGCAGAUGCACAAGUGUUAUAGUUGGAAACAACGACAUUAUACACUUCACUCAUAAGAGAGAAACAGAAAUGUAUUUACUGAUUCAAUAUAGAUAUAAUGUAGUGAUUUGAGAGUGACUUAACAAGAUUUGAGAUGGCUGUAUGCACUUGAUUAUUUACUGCAUAGAUGUUAGGGUUAAAAACACGCAUACAGGAGACCCUCCCGUUGAGUCACAAUGUUCAAAGUGGAACCCCUUGCUUUCUAAAAUCCUUGAACCAAAGAGGGAAGGAGCUUAAGUGCAGCUGGAUCCACUCUUAGUCCCAGGCUUGGUCAAUAGUUUAUGCCUAAGGGACUGUAUGUGCACAAUCAAUCUAAAAUGUGAUUUUGGCAAAGCUAACAAAGCUUACACAGUGAACCUAAGAUAUAAUCUUAAUGAAGCUAGCUAGACUUAAAAGAAACUAUUAGUCACACACCCAGGAUCUGCAUUGGCAAGGCGUCUUGUUAUCAAGGUGUAAGGGAUCUCUGCAUGACCUCGAGAGGCAUCCCUACGUGAUGUGAGACUCUAUCUUGCAGCCCCACCGUUGUGCAGGAGAGCUCAAGGAGCUCUUGGACUGCUCAUUAUUUAUGGAGUAAGAUAAAUGUAUUCACAGUCAUACUUUGUUUUUAGGGGUCUUAGCUGUUGAACCAGGUGUCUGCUAUCAGUUCUUUCAUUCUCCCAGUGUGAGACUUGUGGUUGUUAAUCUGUGAGAGUGCUAUCAGUACUGUUGCUCACUGUCUUCCUGUGCAAGACUGGGCUGGAGGAGGAAGUUGGGAGAAAAAAGUCAAGGAGAGAACAUCAUCACAAUGAGUCUGGCUUAGAGCUGGUUGGUCAAUUCCUCCUGAAAUGAGCAACGCUGAAAUAGCCUGAGGGGCAAGCAGGACAAUAAAAUAGCCCUGAGAUAAGCUAUUUGUUUGCUUGAUAGAGGUUUAAUAAGCUAUCUGCAGUCACGAUGGAUGCUGAAAUCAAAGAAUGAAUGAGACUUUGUUCACGGGGAUUCGUUCUUUGCCUUGGGAGGUGGCAUUGAAAAGUAUGGAAAAAUAAGAGAAAUUUCUGAAUAGCUCUACUUCGGCUCAGAAUUUAUAGAGUGUACUUAAAGUGAGAGAAAAGGUGAGAAAUGAAAAAGGAAAAUGAAAGUAAAGGAGCAACAAAUGGCGAAAUACCCCAGGCAUACCAGACUUGUUACUGUAGUGUAUGAGGAUGUGUCCUUAAAUCUAUGUGGUUUUCAGAGAGCCAAAUUGGGAUACUGUACUUUCCCUAGAUUCUCUGAAGGAAUUUAAUAUACUGAAGUUAAUUAUUAGUAAAUUAUAUCUUCAAAUGAUUGUCUCGAUCUCUCUGCUUAGACUAUCUUCUUGUCAAAUAAAUAUUUAUUUCAACUUUUUAAAAUUAAGAGUAAAGAAGUCUGCAUUAUGUAACCUAGACAAAAAUUGAUACAGGAGGAGGCCAAACUUCCCCCCGCUUAAGUUUCUGUGAUACUUAAGUAUUCAUGUGAUUUACAGUAGAGCAUUGUUCAGUACCUUCUUCUAGUCCUACCUGGAUGGGCAGUACUUCUGAAGAGUAUAUUGUGAAUGUGGAAAAGAGGAACUCCACUUUCAAAGAAGAAACAGAAGCUGACCUCAGCACUAAGAUGCUCUUCUCUAUUGAAAUGUAGGAAUAAUAUAUGGAGCAGCACUAGUACAAACUGCUGAACUGCCUUGGCAGCACUCCAAACGACUGCUCUUUCUGAUGGAGUUUUUAAUACUUCAAGAAGACAUAGUGUGCACAUUUAGAUG